rnacentral:rRNA from 1 species
GACGAACGCUGGCGGCGUGCUUAACACAUGCAAGUCGAACGGAAAGCCCUGGAUGCUUGCUUCUAUCAGUCUUGGUGGCGAGCGGGUGAGUAACGCGUAAUCCACCUGCCCUUCAGAGGGGGACAACAGAUGGAAACGACUACUAAUACCGCAUACGCUCUAAUCUCUGCAUGGAGGAUAGAUGCAAGGUGGCCUCUACAUGUAAGCUAUCAUUGAAGGGGGGGAGUGCGUCUGAUUAGCUAGUUGGAGGGGUAACGGCCCACCAAGGCGAGGAUCAGUAGCCGGUCUGAGAGGAUGAACGGCCGCCUUGGGACGGAGACACGGCCCAGACGACUACGGGAGGGAGCAGUGGGGAAUCGUCCGCAAUGGAGGAGAGUCUGGCGGAGCAAGGCCGCGGGAGGUAUGACGGCCUUCGGGUUGGGAAGCUCGGUUAAUCGGGACGAAAGGCCUUCUUGCGAAUAGUGAGAAGGAUUGACGGUACCGGGAUAAGAAGCCACGGCUAACUACGUG